rnacentral:rRNA from 1 species
AUGGAUUUCUUGCCAAAGACAAGCACGAUGGCAUCGUCGCCGGAGGGGGCAGCGGUGGUGGACGCGUACAAGAAGGCGCUCGCCACGGCGGCCACGGUGAGCGCGUACGCCAUGCUGGCGCGCGGCAUGGCGCGGGAGCUCCUCCCCGACGAGCUGCGCGCCGCGGUGCGCUGGGCCGCUGCGUUCGUGCGCUCCCGUUACAGCGCUCCCGAGAAGCAGCGUCAUACCAUUGUCAUCCGGCGCGUGCUCGGCGGCCUCGGCCUCGGCGGCGGGUACAACGAGAACGACCUGUUCGACGCGGCGCUCACGUACCUGGCCACCAAGAUCAACCCGCAGAGCAUGAGCCGGCUCUGCCUCGCGCGCACCCGCAUGAAGGAGCCCGGCGGGAGCGCCAGCUGGAGCACGCUCCUGAGCAUGGAGAACGGGGGCUCCACCACCGACACCUUCCAGGGCGUUGAGUUCCGGUGGACGUCCAUCGAGAGCGGCGGCGACGACGGCAAGAGUAGGGCGCACGAGUCCCUCGAGCUCAGCUUCGACGCAGAGCACACGGAGACCGUGCUCCACAAGUACGUGCCCUUCAUCAUGUCCGCGGCGGAGGAUCUGCGGCUGCGAGACCGCGCGCUCAAGAUCUUUCUCAACGAGAGUUCGAGUUGGAGAGGCAUCAACCACCACCACCCGGCCACGUUCGACACGCUCGCCAUGGACCCGGCCAUGAAGCAGUCCGUCAUGGACGACCUCGACCGCUUCCUGAAGCGCAAGGAGUACUACCGGCGGAUCGGCAAGGCGUGGAAGCGCGGAUACCUUCUCUACGGCCCGCCCGGAACCGGCAAGUCCAGCCUGGUGGCCGCCAUGGCCAACUACCUCCGGUUCAACCUCUACGACCUUGAUCUCUCCUCGGUGUACGACAACUCGUGCCUGCAGAGGCUGCUCAUGGACAUGCCCAACAAGUCCAUCCUCGUCAUCGAGGACAUUGACUGCAGCUUCGACACCAUGUCCAGGGAAAAAGACGGCAAGCUACGCCAGGCGGCCGGCACCGACACCGACACCGACGAGGACGGCGACGAGUACGACCACGACGACGUCGGAGCAAGAGGUUACUUCCAGGGGCGUGAGCGCCACAAGAUGACACUGUCGGGCCUGCUCAACGUCAUCGACGGCUUGUGGUCAACCACCGGCGAGGAGCGCGUCAUCGUCUUCACCACCAACUACAAGGACCGCCUCGACCGGGCGCUGCUACGGCCGGGCCGCAUGGACAUGCACGUCUACAUGGGACACUGUGGCUGGGAGGCCUUCAGGACGCUCGCCCGGAACUACCACCUCCUCGACGACCACGCUCUCUUCCCGGAGAUUCAAGAACUUCUUGCGGCCGUGGAGGUUACACCCGCGGAGGUGUCCGAGAUGCUGCUGCGGAGCGAGGACGUCGACGUUGCGCUGCGUGUGCUUAUGGAAUUCAUCAAAGCAAGGAGAAGCAAAACAAACGACAAGCACAACGACGGCAUAACUAACUAG